UCUGGAUGCAUAGUUUGUUUUAAAGUUGUACAUGAAUGCGUUAAGUCUUCAGUGCACUGCACUGCAGGUAUUGGUCUAUUACCUGCUUUACGGUAACAGGCACUACUCAGCAGAAGUUCCGGACGGUUCCACAGGACGCUUGUUGAAGACGACAAGAGGGAAAAUAACUACUACGACUAAAGCGAAGUUCGAAAGAGAGAUGGAAACUCGUGGCAAGAAGAGAGGUGAAGGGAGCAGCAAGACUAAAAGACCAUCCAACCCUAACCUGUGUUCCUCUAUGACUGUGACAACCAUCGAUGGCGUGGUGCGGCGCUACAUGAGGGCUCUCAAGAGCUUCAAAAAAACUGGAUCCAUGAAGCGAGCCUUUGAGCAUUUGGGGGUGGACCGGAACACCAUAGCAAGGACCGCCCCAAUCGCUGAGGUCCACAUCAUUUUCCCAGACAUAUUUGAGGGUUUGAGUAAAGAUAGCCAUGACAAAAUCUCCACCUUCGGACCUCAGAACAAUGGUCAGGCAAACCUGGAUUAAUCAGUUGGUCCAAUAAUGUAAGACAUGAAAUAAACGAGCUGGUCUUGGAGCUGUGCAUAAAGCCAAUUAGUCAAUAGUUUUUAUUGUUGUUCAUAUUUUGUUAAGAAACUUCCAGUAUUUGUGUUUGUUUGUUUUGUAGCAAUGAUGCAGUUAUUACAGGCCCAGAAGUCACAAUGUAUGCCAGCAAUAGCUGGUUAAGUUUGAUUUGAGUCAUUAGACCUCUAGAUUUUGAGUUAAGUUUGAUAUUGUUGAUAGCUACUGGUCAGGAGCAGCAAAGCAUUCUGUAAGGGUGAUCAAAAGCAGCUUUUACCCAUUAGUUCGAGUAAAAAUGGUAAGGGAAAUACAUGCAACAUGUUCAUGGUCAGUAAUCAUGACAUGAGUGUUGAGCAGAAGAGGUUUCUAAGCACAUUGUAACGUGUGUAGUAUAAUGUUGUGACCUUGUGUCGUGAUAAUGAUGAUGACAGCCAGUUCAUAUGUUCAUGAGAAAAUAAAAUUGUCAAUGAUGUUAUAAUAAAAACAUUGUUAUAAUGUAUAUAACAGUCAGUUUAUCCUUCAUGAUAUGUUAAUGACAGAUCAAAAUGCUACCACUUUACUUUAGGUCAAAGAAUUUCUUCAUUACAUUGUCGUAAUGAUGUCAUGACAGUCAGUUUAUCCUUCAUGAUAUGUUAAUGACAGAUCAAAAUGCUACCACUUUACUUUAGGUCAAAGAAUUUUGUCAUUACAUUGUCAUAAUGAUGUCAUGACAGUCAGUUUAUCCUUCAUGAUAUGUUAAUGACAGAUCAAAAUGCUACCACUUUACUUUAGGUCAAAGAAUUUUGUCAUUACAUUGUCAUAAUGAUGUCAUGACAGUCAGUUUUUGGUAUUCUGUCAAACAUCAAUGACCAAGUGCUAGAAUUGGUCUUUAAGCUUGCACAGCUAAUUAUAAUCAUCAUUGUCAACUUGCCAUAAACACAAAAAUAGAUGCAUAUUUCGUUAAUGUC